GCCUCUGUAGCUUAAAUCUCUAAAGCAUUGGUCUUGUAAACCAAAAAUGGGCUAUAGUUGCCCCAGAGACA
rnacentral:tRNA from 1 species